rnacentral:pre_miRNA from 1 species
AAAAAGACAAACCCUGGUUUCCGUGUCCAAUGUUUGACCGUCCGUCUUAUUUGAAAAAAUUAUGAAAAAAAUUAAAAAGAUAAGUCACGCAUAAAGUAUUAUCAUGUUUUAUCAUCUAACAACAAUGAAAAUACUAAUUAUAAAAAAAUUUCAUAUAAGACGGACAGUCAAACGUUGGCACGGAAACCCAGGGUUUGUCUUUUU